CAGGGAGCCUGCUGCGGGUGCUGCUGGGGGCACGGGGAGCUCCCGCACAGAAGGGGACAGCUGGUAUUUAAACGGUUAAAAUAUCACCACAUUUCACUCGUCUUGGGUUUCUCAUAAACAUU
rnacentral:lncRNA from 1 species